UACCUUUUCUUUUCUUUGGUCUGUUAUGUCUCUUGACUUCUAAAACAUCAUUUAGCCAACUCACAGCCCCGAAAAAAUCUUGAAGUUACCAAAAGAAGAAGAUAGUGCCAACCUGAAGCCAUCUGAAUUAAAAAAAGAUACAUGCUACUCUCCAAAGCCAUCUGUGUACCUUUCAACACCUUCCAGUGCUUCUAAAGCAAAUACAACUGCUUUCCUGACUCCAUUAGAAAUCAAAGCUAAAGUGGAAACAGAUGAUGUGAAAAAAAAUUCCCUGGAUGAACUUAGAGCCCAGAUUAUUGAAUUGUUGUGCAUUGUAGAAGCACUGAAAAAGGAUCACGGGUAAGUAGCCCUUCUUUCCUCCUAUGAGUACUACUUAACCCAUGCAUACAGAAUUUUUUUAAACCAUAUUAAGUAAAAAUCUAAUCUGUGGCUGGGUGUGUGGUAGUUCACGCCUGUAAUCCCAGCACUUUGGGAGACCAAGGUUGGAGGAUUGCUUGAGUCCAGGAGUUCGAGACCAGCCUGGAUGACAUGGCAAAACCCCAUCUUUGC
rnacentral:sRNA from 1 species